CAAUUGAUGAGGAAAGUCCGAGCACCACAGGACAGAGUGCCGGCUAACUACCGGCGGAGGCGACUUCAGGGAAAGUGCAACAGAAAUAAACCGCAUAGAAAUAUGUAAGGAUGGAAAGGCGAGGUAAGAGCUCACCGAGGCCUUGGCGACAAGGCUUGCUAUGUAAACCCCACUCGGUGCAAGAAAGGAAGGUUAAGGCGGUCCGUUACUUCCGCAUUCGCUUGAACAUAAUGGCAACUUUAUGUCUAGACAGAUGAUUAUCAAAUACAGAACUCGGCUUACAGAUUAA
rnacentral:RNase_P_RNA from 1 species